GGCUGUAGCUCACUGGUAGGGCACUUGUCUAGCAUGCCUGAGGCCCUGGGUUCAAUCCCCAGCAUGCCA
rnacentral:tRNA from 1 species